GGUUUUAUGUGCACUUUUCAUAGUGAAAAAUGAAGUGAAAUAUUAAAUUUUGAAGUUAUAGGGUCUAACAACUCUUUAGAAAAAGAAUUGACGGAAUCUGUAGAUUGAUAUUCAUUUGCUAGAUUGACUAUUGAAUUGUAGGAUUCCGUUAAGAUUCAGGUAUAUUUGAGAUUCAUCUUGUAGAUUCAAAUCGCUAGGGUGGGAAAGUGAAUCGAAUCGUAAGAUUCUAACAAUAUUGAAUGACACCAAUAAAAGAUCAAUACGAUUCUAAGAUUUUGUAUAUUUGAAAUUUCAAACUUUCAAAUAUUUCCUUUUAAUUUGUGAAAAUCUUGUCAUUUGUUUAUUUUAAC
rnacentral:misc_RNA from 1 species